GAAGGAGGUCCUCACCUGAAACGGCCAGACUAAGUGUUUUGACUUCGCCAGGACGGCCCAUGGACUCACCUUUCCGUAGGGGCCGGGGGAGGGGCUGGCUAUCCCCGAUUCUGUCCAGGGUCCCGUCUCUUCCGGCUUCUCCCGGAAGCUGUUUGAAUCAGACACGGGAAGUCCCGCCUCCGCGCUCUGCACUGAUGACAUGGUUGUACACACCCGUGACGUUUCCCUAGGAUAAAUUCCUGAAAAGGGGAUUGCUGGAUCAAAGGGUGUUCACAUCGUUCAGGUUUUUGAUACACCGUCCUCCAGAAGGCUGGACCUAUUUCCAUGCCCGCAGCCGCUUUUGGCAAUCGUUCCAAGGCCAUGCCUACCACGGUCACUUGGCAUGCCUCCCCAGUUCCUUCCCGUUGCGGAGACUACCCUUUGUAAGGGCUGCAUCGUAUUCCAGAGUAUGGAUUUGUCCACCACCUCCC